rnacentral:lncRNA from 1 species
UUACAGAUAAGACACCUGAAAAAUCUGCAGCCAAUGCUCCUCGUGCUAUGAGAGACACUUACAUCAAGUGAUUCAAUGACCGUACGACUGUGCGUUGUGUGAUGAGGACAGCUAUAAAUGACGAACUUAGCCGUAAGUUCGAGGAUGCAUAGUCAGAGGAGAUCAUUCAAAUAUUGAAUGAGUUCUUUGACACCCCAGA